GAGGAGCACGCCGCGUGAGUGAAGAAGGUUUUCGGAUCGUAAAACUCUGUUGUUAGAGAAGAACACGGAUGAGAGUAACUGUUCAUUCCUUGACGGUAUCUAACCAGAAAGCCACGGCUAACUACGUGCCAGCAGCCGCGGUAA
rnacentral:rRNA from 1 species